GACAGAGGGGGCAAGCGUUGCUCGGAAUCACUGGGCGUAAAGGGCGCGUAGGCGGGAUGGCAAGUCGGUCGUGAAAUCCUUCGGCUCAACCGAAGAACGUCGGCCGAUACUGCCGUUCUUGAGGGAUGCAGAGGAGAUUGGAAUUCCCGGUGUAGCGGUGAAAUGCGCAGAUAUCAGGAGGAACACCGGUGGCGAAGGCGGGUCUCUGGGCCGAUACUGACGCUGAGGAGCGAAAGCGUGGGGAGCGAACAGG
rnacentral:rRNA from 1 species